UACGUAGGCAGCAAGCGUUGUUCGGAGUUACUGGGCGUAAAGGGUGUGUAGGCGGUUCUUUAAGUUUGGUGUGAAAUCUCCCGGCUCAACUGGGAGGGUGCGCCGAAUACUGAGGGACUAGAGUACGGGAGAGGAAAGUGGAAUUCCUGGUGUAGCGGUGAAAUGCGUAGAUAUCAGGAGGAACACCGGUGGUGUAGACGGCCUUCUGGACCGUAACUGACGCUGAGACACGAAAGCGUGGGUAGCAAACGGG
rnacentral:rRNA from 1 species